UACGGGGGGAGCAAGCGUUGUUCGGAUUUACUGGGCGUAAAGGGCGCGUAGGCGGCCACCGCAAGUCGACUGUGAAAUCUCCGGGCUUAACCCGGAAAGGUCAGCCGAUACUGCGGGGCUAGAGUGCAGAAGGGGCAACUGGAAUUCUCGGUGUAGCGGUGAAAUGCGUAGAUAUCGAGAGGAACACCUGCGGCGAAGGCAGAUCUCUGGGCCGUAACUGACGCUGAGGAGCGAAAGCAUGGGGAGCGAACAGG
rnacentral:rRNA from 1 species